UGCACAGUACAACUUUCCAGAGACCACAUGAAAUAUGAUGUCAUUGCCCUGCUGGCGACUGGAGGGUGUGCCUGUGAAUUCUUUUGUUUCAAUUUUUUUUAGUUUAAUUUUUUCUAAGAGGAUCCAACUAAGGAUGCCACGUUACAUGUAGUUGCUGUGUUUCCUUACGUUCCUCUUGGCUAUGACCGUGUGUCACUUUCUUUGUUUUGGAUGAACCUUGACUGUUUUGAGGGGCACUAUUCAGUUAUUUUGCAUAGUAUCCCUCAACUAGAAUUUGUUUGAUGUGUUUUUCAUGAUUAGACUAAGUUUAGUGGAUUUUGAGAAGGAAGACCACAGCGAUAAAGUACCGUUUUCAUCACAUCAUAACAAGGGUAUAUUCUGUCAGCAUAACUCAUUUUUACUGUUGACCAUGAUCAACUGGCUGAGGUAGUUAGUAAAUUUCCCAUUAAAAUUUUAAUUCAGAAACUAUUACUAGGUAUAAUCCACAUAUAAAUAGCUCUUUGGAGUCCUCAACAGUUUCUAAGAGUAUAAAGGAAUCUCGAGACCCAAAAGUUUGAGAGUUGCUCAUCUAAUCCUUAAGCAGCUAACACUUUGAGAAAGAACAAUUGACAGCUGCCUGAUAGGACAAAAGGAACCUAGAAGAUGAGGGUUGGGGCUAGAAGGGGAGAAGAAAGAAUUGACGGCCUUUAAUAAUAGGGGAGUGAUACCAAGAUAAACUCUGGCUACUUUAUAACUGUACUUUGCGUUGAGACAGGACCUCUACCUUUCAGUAGUUUUUGACUUUGUUUCUUUCUUUUCUCAUUUGGUCAUUUAACAGAUAUUUGUUGAAUGUCUGCUUACUUUUCAUUAGUUUUAAUAUUUUGUCUGAUUCAUAUCAUCUGCAAAUAAUGUUUUUUCCCUUUUUCUUCCAUUCCUUAUGCAGCUGUGCAUAUGGCUUUAUGACUGUAUGUCUGGGGAUUAGACUUGGGGAGUCUUUUCUAGAAGAGUAUUGAUUCUGUUUAGGUUUUCAAAAUUAUUUAAAAUUUAACAUUAUUAUUUAAAUCUUUUAUGUCUUCCUUUUGCAUCUCUCAUUUUGUGAAUGUGGCAUUUCUGCUUCAUUCUUCCAUCUUGCUUAACUUACGUAUUUUGCAUCCUUUUUCUUCCUGAUGCCUUCUUGUUGAAUUCCUUGGUCAUUAUUCUGGCUCAUUAAUUUGUUAUUGGAUCAAAUUCAUUUUGCUGUUCAAGCCUACUAUAUUUUAUUUCUCUAUAAUAUUUUUAUACCCAGUAUUAUCAGCUUAAAAAAAUUUGCUUUUUCAUGCUUCAGUUUUAUAAUAUCCUCCUUUAUCUUUUCAAGCUUGUUUAUUAAGUUUUUGAUAAAUUUGGUUCACUGAUUUUCUUUUCUUUGACCAAGAUUGUUCAGUUUGUUGUCUUUCCCAGCACUUGGGCUCCUUAGAAUAUUAUUUUUGUUUGUGAGCUUAUAUUCGCUUAAUAAUAUUCUUCUGGGAAUAUUAACUGGCUUGUCUAAGAGCCCAGGGACUACUUUUAGCCAUUUUGGUCAAUCUAGAGAAUAUAUGUCUUAGGGUAGAAAAUCUUUUUAAUUAAAAUCAUAGCUUCCCCAAUCCUCAUUUCCCCCUACCACUUACAUAUUCUGUUUUUUAGGGAACUUUUCUGUAUCUCUAUUCUGAGCAUACUUCUUACCCAUAAGCUGUCUCCUUAGUUGUAAAUGGCCCAUUUGAGAGAAAGCACAGUGGAAGGUAGUAGUUGGCCUCUCUGUCUGCAUUUAGAAUGUGUGUACUGCAACAGUACUGCAUGUGUGUACAUGCACAGUUUAAAAACAACAAUGCAUACUUAGGAUUGUGUUUAUUUCCUCUAUUUGGAAUUAAAUCAUGUAUUGUGCUCACAGUAAAUACAGGGUGGUCAGCGAUUAGAGAGAAGAGAGCAUAGAAAGAUAGCUGGCUUCUAACCCUUCCUCCUGUUCCCUCCUCCUGUUCCCUUCCCCUGGCCUUUCCUUCUUCUGUGAUAUUCCACUUUAUCCAUCUCCAGGUAUGGGUUCAGGGGCUAGGGUGGGGUGGGGAUGUGUUACUUUACUAGUAAUUCAGUUAUCACUUGCAAAAGCAAUUGCCUUCUUCUUUAUUGGCUUUGGAUUCUCUGUGUAUAGAGAGGCUGGAAGUGGACUAGAGAUUUUAAAGAACACCAGAACUGUUGGACAGUUAAUUCAUAUUAAGAUCUUUGUCACAUGGGAUAUGCCUACAGUUUAAAAAUAAAAUGUAGAACUCUUAAGGGACCACCUGAAAAAACAGACUGUCGUUUACUCAGUGUAGACAGUGAAAUCAUUUAACAGAAGAAUAGUCAAAGCUAUUUGUUUUGCUAAGCCAGACUUGGGGAGGAGAACUGGCUUUAAAGACUUCUUAUUUCUUUCAGUAUCCAUAAAUAAUGUAACUACUCAGCUUUUAAACGUAAGAUUUUUUAUAAGCAUUGUCAUUUGCUCUUUCUUUCAAGUUUUAAGACAUGCCAGAGCUUCUCAUAAGCAGGAUAUAAUUAAAGCUUAGACACCCACAACUUCACAUUUAACUCUUAAAUAAAAUGGUAUAUGUUAAGAAUCUUACAUUUAAGAAUAAA